rfam:Pleurotus ostreatus PC15 unplaced genomic scaffold scaffold_07, whole genome shotgun sequence.
GCCUUUCUAGCUCAAUCGGAUAGAGCGUCAGACUUUUACAGAGAGGUGAAUCUGAAGGCUGCGAGUUCGACCCUCGCGAGAGGCU